rnacentral:rRNA from 1 species
AACGAACGCUGGCGGCGGGUCUUAGGCAUGCAAGUCGAACGGGUGUAGCAAUACAUCAGUGGCGCACGGGUGAGUAACGCGUGGGAAUCUGCCCAUCACUGGGGAAUAACGUUUGGAAACGAACGCUAAUACCGCAUACGCCCGAAAGGGGAAAGAUUUAUCGGUGAUGGAUGAGCCCGCGUUGGAUUAGCUUGUUGGUGGGGUAAAGGCCUACCAAGGCGAUGAUCCAUAGCCGGCCUGAGAGGGCGAUCGGCCACACUGGGACUGAGACACGGCCCAGACUCCUACGGGAGGCAGCAGCUAAGAAUAUUGGACAAGGGGGGAAACCCUGAUCCAGCCACGCCGCGUGAGUGAAGAAGGCCUUCGGGUCGUAAACCUCUUUUGACUGGGAAGCACCCGCAAGGGUGGACGGUACCAGUAGAAUAAGCACCUGCUAACCAUGUGCCAGCCGCCGCAGUAA